rnacentral:rRNA from 1 species
CCAAUAGCGUAUAUUAAAGUUGUUGCAGUUAAAAAGCUCGUAGUUGAAUUUCGGGGUCAAUACGUCGGUCGUGCCUUCGGUACGUACUGGUGUUAUUGAUCUCUCCCUUCUGAUGAAUCACGAUGUCAUUAAUUUGGUGUCGUGGGGAGUCAGGACUGUUACUUUGAAAAAAUUAGAGUGUUUAAAGCAGGCUCACGCUUGAAUACAUUAGCAUGGAAUAAUGAAAUAGGACGUUCGAUCCUAUUUUGUUGGUUUCUAGGAUCAACGUAAUGAUUAAUAGGGAUAGUUGGGGGCAUUAGUAUUCAAUUGUCAGAGGUGAAAUUCUUGGAUUUAUUGAAGACUAACUACUGCGAAAGCAUUUGCCAAGGAUGUUUUCAUUAAUCAAGAACGAAAGUUAGGGGAUCGAAGACGAUCAGAUACCGUCGUAGUCUUAACCAUAAACUAUGCCGACUAGGGAUCGGAUGAUGUUAAUUUUUUAAUGACUCAUUCGGCGCCUUACG